rnacentral:lncRNA from 1 species
UUUGUGGUACAAGAUUAGUUUUAGGGUUCUGCAAAUCCUUAACCGUAUUUGGCUUGACGUGAGCGAUUUCCCUAAAGCAACCACCACUUUCAUAAUUGUGUGUGACUACAGCUGCAGCAACGACGCCGGAUUAAAUUUUCGAAGACGAUUGUGGUGACUUGUGGAUUUGUUGUGGUCUUAUUGAAGAAAUGGAAAGGAUUGUAUAAACCAUCAUUAAGAUUAGUGAAAUUUUAAUGUGAGAUUUGUGACGCGAAUCAUUUGUAGCUGAUAAUAUAGUUGGUGCGAAAUUAGAUUUCAUAUGGAUAAUGGGAAGAUGUGAGAGUGCUGGGCGUAAAUUUUUAAAUUAAAUUUCUGGAAAUUUUAUGAACAAUGUAGUAAUAUAAAGGAGUUUUUCACUAUUAUUUUUAUGUUAAUAAACACGUGUAUUGAAAUUGUAAGAGAGGGAUUUUAGCAACAGAAAUUCAGGCUAGUGGCAGCUGAACCUGAAAUAAUUGAGUUGAAUAUUGUUGCUGCGAAUAAUGUGGUGAGAAGUCGGAUUUCGUAUAGAGAAGUAGAAAAUAGUGGAGGAGUAAAAGGGGAAAAAUAUUGAAAAUGAUUUAGGGAUUAUACUCUAGCAGCUGAACACGACCCAUUUAAAGCUGUAUGAUUGAUGAGAAACUUGUGGUUUGUUCUGUGUAUUUGCCAUAUUUCCUUUUCUUUAUCUUCAGGCUGACUACGCCUUCGACUGCAACUUUGGAGAAGCAUAUGCCAUAUUUCCUUUUCUUUAUCUUCAGGCUGACUAUGCCUUCGGCUGUGACUUUGUAGAAGCAUCUACGAAGUCACAAGUUAGAUGUGAAUCACACAGAAAUUUUGAAAAUGAUAUCAUAAUUUCUUGUGCUUGUAUAAUAACAAUGGGACUAAUUAGUUUAGAUGUUUUGUAUGUUUUUAAGUUAAUGUAAUAAAAAUUGAAUGUAUGUCUGGCAAUUCAACCGUAAGGGGGAAGUUAGUAAGUUGUACGAUGAACAUGUGUGGAAAGUACAAACAGGAAAAGUGAAAUUGCAGCAAGUAAUAAAAUGAAGUUAAGUGCAAGCAUUUAGAUGGUGAUACAGGGGAAAUGGUACAUGUUUACAGCUCGUUGUACAUAUGUUUCAUUGACUGUAUGCUAAUCUGACAAGCAUUUAACUGUAUGCUAAUGUAACAAAUAGCUGAUCAGUUAACAAUUGCCCAUGUCAUAAUAGUUUCAGUACACUCCAUAUUUGGCUGAAACUCUUAUUGCUGGACAUGACUUCUUGCGAGUACUAUCAAGCAUCAGUGAUGAUGACUCCAUAAGUAAGUUUGUCACACAGUAAUUCAUAAUUGCGUUUUCACUUACUCUUUUUGCUAUUUGAAAUUGCAGGCCUGUAAAGGUGACAAUGUCCCAACAUGCAUGAUCCCUAAUGCUGCCAUGUGCUCGCCCUUCCACAUCUGCCCAUGUUAUCUUUCUUCCUAUGAUUAAAGCCGAAGCUUAUCUAUUUCUCACAUUCAAACCAAUGCUGUCAAAGGAACUCCACCAACUAGGAUACUUAUACACAUUCUAUAUGCUCUAUAUUUACUGUUAUUUCACAAUAUAACCUACUUCAACUGUGUUUUGAUAAGCAUUCAUUACUUUAUGGGACAUGUUUCAAUGUUAUGGAUGUACGACAAUUAUGUGUUUUGAACUCCUGUUGUAUAUUUCUUAUGUCGACAUUGCAGCUUGGAUUUUUGAAUCCACCUUUAUACGUAUGCAGUUCCAGUAUCUUCUCACUGUUACAGUUAUGUUUGCCGUCUAUUAAUUAAACCUGCUUGUCCAUCUCUUCCCUUGCAUUUACUUGUGCAUCACCAUUUACUUCAUUUACACCCAUUACCAAAUCAAACUGGAUUUGGAAGCAUCUCUUCAUUUGGUUAACUAUUCUUCUUUAUAUCCAUUUUAUGCCAACUAAGGCUAUUAUUUAAUCAACUAACAAAUUACAAAUAUCUUGGCCAUAUGAUCAUUCUCCUUUUAUUCAACCACCCAAUGUUUAGAGACAUUUAAGUAUUUCAAGCCCAGCCAUUGGUGAUACUAAUGUAACAACACAUGCGUUGAUUUUUCAGCUACCAUCAAUUUCAUAUGUGCAGUUUGCCGAACUCAUUUUCCCAUUUUGAUACAUUUUCGUACUUGCUCCAUGCUUUAUUCCAAUUCUGCUUGUCAUUCAAAUCCUAACCAAAAUCAUUUUAAAUCAAUUACCAAUCCAUAAUUUUUGUUUCUCUCCACUCCACAAUUUGUUGUCUUACCUAUCUAAGUUACUGUUAAUGCAGCUAUAUUUUGCUUCCCACUUAAUUCAUUUAACUCUUUCCUAUUUCUUUUAAGAGGAACAAAUAAAAUACUUCAUAUCCUUUCACUAUUACAACUGCUCAAUAUUUUAUGCCUCCUACAACAAUGAAACUGUUACUAAUCUACAUAUUAUUGUCCCUCGACAAAGUAUUUGCUUAUACAUUUAUUUGUGCCAGCUAACAUGUUUAUUGUUAUGGAAACCAACAUCUUCUUGUUUUCUUAAACAAUAUAUUAGCAGUGUCAACAGUUCCAGUCUAAUUACCUGCACUCUCGGUUUGGUUCAUCUGCAACGUGGCGUUUUCAGCAUUGCACAUUCUUCACCCUUUUCAUCUAACGAUGACUUCACUACAAGACGAAAUGUGGGGGCACGGUGCCCUGGGGGCUGAUAAUUAAUGGAAGAUUGUCAGUUUUCCUUUUAUUAAAAUUAAUAUAUACUACUCACUCCCUACUAUUUUUAUAAUAACUAAUAGCCUCUUUGGCAGCAUAAUUCUGUAGUAUUACCUU